GAAUCGCAAAGGAAACAUCUAUAUGAGACAACUAAAAUCAUCAUCAAAGUGAAUAUAGUAUUUGAACCCUUCUAUGGAUGCUAUUGGAGUUGGACCACAUAUGUCAGAAUAUAGGAUUUUCGUUAUUUUAGGUACACACAUUACAUUUUAACCAUUUCCUCUGCCAAACUCGACCUCUACUCUUCUUUUCAUAAAACUGAGUUGCAUAACUAAGAAAGGAUGGAUUUGUUUGAAGGCCAUGUUGCUGUGCCCAGAUGUCCCAAAAAAAUUAGGAUUAGAAUUAUUCAGUGCAGAUUCUAGUAUACAUUAAUUAAAAGGCUGUUGAACAAGAAAUGAAUUCUGGGGAAUGAAAGAACUAUGAGCUGCUACACAAGCCUGAGACAAGCCUUGGUGAAUUGCAGGCUAGUUCUGUAUAAUUCCUGGAUCAGUAUCUACUAGUCCACUACACAAUUCUGUCUUUAUGGAUUUAACAGAAAAGUUGUGUGGGCAGAGCCACCAUAAAAAUCUAAGGACAUUACAGAGGACGAACUUUGAUUGGCUUUUUCUACCUUAAGUUCAUGCCUCUUAAGUAGAUAUUAUGCCACCUGUAGGUUUAAAGGAUCAGCCUUGGUUCAAUCCUAAACGUUAAGCUAGCCACUAUAGCAUCAUAUUCUGAGGCAAGGCAUUCCAAAAUGUAAUGAAUCAACUCCUUAUUUGGCAUAUCUUGGCCAUUAAAAGACAACACCUCAGCAGAGUUUUUCAUCUUUAGUACAUACUCACUUAUGGACAGAUUGCCUUUUUAGUAUUUUGAAAUAGACCCCAAACAUGCAACAACUGAGUUUUAGACUCACUAAUGAACUCAAGUUCUAAAGUAUUCCGUAUCUCCGAAGCAAAUUGACAUUUCGAUAUCACUCUAAACAAACUUUCAGAUAUGGACACAAGUAACCAACUAACCAACAUUUUAUCUACUUUCUUCCAAAGCACAUAAUCGGAAGUAGUUUUUUUACUUUUACCGGAACUAGAGUCCAAACCCUUUGAUUGUGUGUAGUAGAAUGGAUGUGGACAUACUGAAGAUCCAGUCAGAUGAUGUUCAAGAUCAUGAGCUCUGAUUGCAAAGGAUACUUGCGAUUUCUAAAAUGGAAAGUUGCUUCUUGUGAGCUUUGGUGAGAUUGCUUGUAGCACAGAAAUGAAGACUCUCUCAAUUUGGAAUAUCUCUCAUAUAGGGUUUCAAACCAUAGAAUGUAGAUGUGAGUCUUCUGUGGCUUUCAUAACAUGAGCAGAUUCAAGAAAACAGCAAAAGAAUCUUCGGAGAAAAAAUCCGAAUUUCAUUCACUUAAUGAAACUUCAUGAUAUAGACAUCUAUUUAUACAAUAAUCCAAAGCAUCUUAUAGCCUUUGAUCUGUACAACAGAAAAUGCAAGCAAACACUACUCUCCUUCGGUUUAAGUCAAUAAGAGCAGGUAACAAAUUGAGUAUAGGGCUGCUUCUGUUGAGAGAGAGAUAAAAUAAUAGGAAGAGUGAUUGACUUUGUGAAAAUGAAAGAGAGGAGAUAUUUUUCUCAACUCUUCUUUGCCGAAGCAAGUGAGAUGGUGCUUUUUGGCUCAGUUCAAAACUUGCCAUUUUAUCAUAAGUUCACCUAAUAACAUCUAAUCACAUUGUUUAUAUAUUAACUAAUAGUUAUACAGCAUUCAUGUUAAUGAUCAGAUAAAUUCUCAUCUUCCGCAUGUUUAUUGAGCUCAUACCAGAAAUUAUCCAAAGGUUUAUUUGUUUUAUUUCAUUGUUUAAUCUUCUAUGCACAUAAAUUGUUUAAGGUAGUUUUAAAAUACUGUAGAUGAAAAUGCCAUGGCAGGACAACAUUCCAGCAGCAUCAAACUUUGAUCCAUUUAAUUGGAGUCCUCUAGAACAAAGCAGUCUAGCCCAACCCAACAGUGUUCUCAAUGCUUCAAAUUCAAGGUACUUCAAAAACUCUGUAUAUGAUCCAAAGUAUGAAGCUAAGGGCUUACUUGUAGACCCUCAUUUGCGAAUGUUUAUGAUGAGUCAUGAAAAUGGUAAGCUCCAUCUUCAAUUUUCAGAUGUCCACAUGGCUAUUUUGGAUUGUUGGAGAAAAGAAUAAAGAGGGAAGGUGUGGAACUUAAAUGCAGAGAAGAAAGAAAAUCAUAAUUGAACAUUUGGUUUUGGAGGGCAUUUUGCCUCUCAAAUUGCCAGAGAAUUAGAGUUGUAAUUGUUGUUGAUGAUUCUAGUUUAUGAAAAGCACUUUAAGUGCAACCUUCCA